rnacentral:rRNA from 1 species
GACGAACGCUGGCGGCGUGCUUAACACAUGCAAGUCGAACGAGUGGCGAACGGGUGAGUAAUACGUGGGUAACCUGCCCUCUCUUUGGGAUAAGCCUUGGAAACGGGGUCUAAUACCGGCUAAAGGGUGAUGGGCUCGUGGCAGAUCUGCUUGUUGGUGGGGUGAUGGCCCACCAAGGCGGUGACGGGUAGCCGGGCUGAGAGGGUGACGGGCCACGAUGGGACUGCGGUACGGCCCAGACUCGUACGGGGGGGAGCAGUAGGGGAUAUUGCACAAUGGGCGAAAACCUAGUGCAGCGGCGCGGAGUGGGGGAUGAAGGCUUUCGGGUUGUAAACCUCUUUCGCUAGCGAACGGGUAGGUGGAGAAGAAGCGCCGGCUAACUACGUGCCAGCAGCCGCGGUAAUAC